rnacentral:rRNA from 1 species
GACAGCAACUGACGGUGAGGCGCGAAAGUGUGGGGAGCAAACAGGAUUAGAUACCCUGGUAGUCCACACUGUAAACGAUGAAUACUAGGUGUGCGGGGACUGACCCCCUGCGUGCCGCAGUUAACACAAUAAGUAUUCCACCUGGGGAGUACGAUCGCAAGGUUGAAACUCAAAGGAAUUGACGGGGGCCCGCACAAGCGGUGGAUUAUGUGGUUUAAUUCGAAGCAACGCGAAGAACCUUACCAGGGUUUGACAUCCUGCUAACGAAGUAGAGAUACACUAGGUGCCCUUCGGGGAAAGCAGAGACAGGUGGUGCAUGGUUGUCGUCAGCUCGUGUCGUGAGAUGUUGGGUUAAGUCCCGCAACGAGCGCAACCCCUAUUGUUAGUUGCUACGCAAGAGCACUCUAGCGAGACUGCCGUUGACAAAACGGAGGAAGGUGGGGACGACGUCAAAUCAUCAUGCCCCUUAUAUCCUGGGCUACACACGUAAUACAAUGGCGGUCAACAGAGGGAGGCAAAGCCGCGAGGCAGAGCGAACCCCUAAAAGCCGUCCCAGUUCGGAUCGCAGGCUGCAACCCGCCUGCGUGAAGUCGGAAUCGCU